rnacentral:rRNA from 1 species
GACAGAGGGUGCAAACGUUGCUCGGAAUCACUGGGCGUAAAGGGCUUGUAGGCGGCCAACUAAGUCAGACGUGAAAUCCCUCGGCUUAACCGGGGAACUGCGUCUGAUACUGGAUGGCUAGAGAUUGGGAGAGGGAUGCGGAAUUCCAGGUGUAGCGGUGAAAUGCGUAGAUAUCUGGAGGAACACCGGUGGCGAAGGCGGCAUCCUGGACCAACACUGACGCUGAGGAGCGAAAGCCAGGGGAGCAAACGGG